rnacentral:lncRNA from 1 species
UAAGUUCAUUCUUCGUUCUUGUCCAGGGCAAAUCUACCCAACCUAUGGACAGACCCUCUUCAGCUGGGUUCCCACACCGGAUAGUGACAUCCAAAGAGGGAAGGGACCUAGAGGUGGUAGAAGGCCCUUGAGAGAAGAAGGGACAACUUCCAAGAACUCAGAGGCCUGAGCCAGUUGUUCAGCUGGGGCCCCAAGCACAUGGGAGUGAGGAGUCCAGAGCUCCUCUCUUUUUGACACCUCCCUCAUCUUGGAACAGUCUUCUAAAUAGUGCCUCUAUCUCCCUCUGAUUCAUGCUCCUGGGCCAGCUGAACUCUGCUCCUACUCAGAAUGGGACCUUUGAAAGCCACCCGGUUGGAAGGUUUUGGGCUGUCUAGACACCCUCUGGAGUCCCUCCCAGAAAUGUCCUUAGGGCCAUUUUGGAUGGGUGUGGAGGUCUCAAAGAAGAAAGAAUACAGCAUACUCUAUACCAGCAGGUCACCCAAGGCCUCCUGUCCUGGAGCCCCUGACCAGGUUGUUCCUGGGAUGCUAGCAGCGUGAAGGGAGUGGGCAAAUAUGUAGGCAAGGACACCAGGCUGGUCAGCUGAGGGCUCAGGCCCAUCCUGCAAUUGGGGUACAGCGGAUGCAGGAAAACGUGAAUGUAGAAACAAGCAACACAAGGGAGAGCUGCAGAGUCGGGGCCCAGCAUUGUAAGGAACAAGGACCUUCAUGUGCACCAAGAAGACCAGGGGAAGAGGCCUUGCCCACCGGGAGAGUCCUGGGGCCUUGGCAGCAGGUUGAGAAGGGACUGGCACUGCCAGGUACAGGUUUGGCUGAGGCUGGCCUUGGUUUUGGAAGAAGAGUAUUGGGUUGGGGGUAGGGCUCGGGUGGUAAAAGAGCUACCCACAGGUGUAGCUAGGCUCAUACACAGGACUCUGCCUGGAGGGCAGGUAAGCCAGUUACACCCAGCCCAUCUAUGUCCUUGGUAUAAAAUAAUACACAUAUAAAAAUAAUACUCCAUGCAUUUGGGUUGGGCCCAUUACAGGUGCGGCGCCCCCUCUGACUCUGGUGAAGUGUGUUGGCUGGUAUAGCUGUCCUCGGCCCUCCUGAUCUUGCUCAUGAGCUUCUCCAGUUCUGACCCACUUUGUUGUUUCUAGGAAAAAGAGAUUGGGCCUCAGCCGGGAGGUUGGGGAAUAAAGAGGGUACAGGACAGGGCCCUGCUGUUUCCUGUUUUUCCAGUGACCCCAGGUGCAAGUGCCUAGGAAGGAACUCAGAAGCAGGCAGGAGCUGCUCACCUCCAGGAAGGCCUUCUGAACCGUGAGCUGGCUGUACACGCGACUGCCCUCUUCCCCGCACACUUUUUUCAGUUCCUCCUUGUUGAGGGAGAAGAGCUGGGGUCCAGUUAAGAUGCCCAGGUUCUCCACGAUCCUAGGGGCAGGUGGGUGUGAGGGCGGGGCCGUGGGCGGGACACUGUCCUCCAGGCUCCGCCCCACCGGCUGUACACACGGGACUCACCUGGCACUGAAGGCCUUGGCUUCCAGCCAGGCGCGGACCUCAUCCGGACCUGACUCGAAGGUAAGCGGCAGGUGCACUGGCUGGCUGCGCUCCACGCGGAAGUUGCGCUGCGGCUGUGUCUUGAUGUGGCUGAUCUUUUUCAUGAGCUCGUCAUUGACCUCGUCCAUGUGGUGGAUUAGCUCUGUGGGGCGCACGCUCUCAGCCCCUUCACUCGACCCGUUCUCUGCCUCUUCCCCACCCUCCGCAUCCUAUCAGCGCCCUCCCCUGCCCCUCCCUACACUUCUAACCCCAAAGUGGAUCUACUUACCUUCUUUGUUCCCUGCGAAAAUUGGGGGCAGUUUGUGGGUGGGGCUGGCUGGACCCCAGUAUUUCUGGCCAGACUGCAAGGAGUAAGGAAGAGGUGAGGGGUAAGGUGAGGGGGGGGCUAUUAUAUAAGGACUUACCCAGGACCCCAGAUGGAUGGGCCAGCCCUUUCUUCCCUUGAGUAAGACCCCAGGAACCCACACAGCCCUUGGCCCAGCUUGGGGGCAGCAGGUUUCCGGGGAUCAGGUUCAAAUAUCACAUUGAGACCAGCUGCACCCCUGACCUUAGGGGCUCUGACUGUGUUGUAGACAGAAUGGAGCCGUGGCAGGCGAUCACCUGUUCCAAGGGGGCACCCACGUCCUCCUGCCGAGCUUCAGCCAGGAUGUUGCAGGGCACAUAGCCCGCCUGGCCACUGCGAUUUCGUAGCUUCCACCACUGCCGGCCGUCCUCCAGCACCUGCCAAGUGUCCAGAUGUCUGUGAGACUCACCAACAUCCUCGUGCAGACCUCAAGUACUAUUAGAGUCAGAUGCUGGGGACACUUGCCAAACCCUUCACAGAGGGCCAAAGCAUUGUCCAGGUAUCUCAAGCACAGCUCUCCAUCCUCUGGACAUGUCUUGGCCUGAUGGGCUACCCAGUGCCUGCCUGGCCUCCCCAGUCCUGGAGACAGGGUACCUCUUAACCUGAUUCUAAAUGCAGAGCUUCCCCCAGCCUGCUCCACUUUCUGUCCCUCAGUAGGUGGCCUGGAUUCAGGUUAGGCACAAAUAAGUUGGUCCAGGGUGGUGAUCUUGGGUGGCCAUGAAUGACAAGCCCCUACUGGCUUCUACCGAAGGGCCACCCACCACGGUAGACCUCCAGGGAUCCCCCAGACAUCAGAAGGCAGCUCAGUGGCUCAGCCAGACUGUGGUGGGGGUCAGAGAGGCCACUGGAGGCCCAGUAGGAAGCCAGGUCGAGCACACUGGGAAGAUGGGUGGAUUACAGACCAUGGUCCCAGAACACGCCCCACUUCCCCUGUAUAGCCCCGGUCCUUACCUCUAGGACCUCGUCCUUGAGCACAGAUAGCUCAUUGGCGUUUCGCGCUGUGAAAUCAUAGAGGAUCUUGACGUACUUGGUCAUGGCUGGUGUUGGCUGGUAGCCCCUGCAGGACCAGGAAGAGUUGAGACCCAGGGCUGGACGGAAGUCUCUUCCUGCUUCCCAGCUGCAGCUGCCUCCUGUUCUGCUGCCCAGGUUGCAGUGAAGAGAGGCUGUGCUUCUCAGCCGGGAGUGGAAACUGUGACACUCCAGCAGGCGGGGGGGGGGGGGGGGGGGGGGGGAGACGAGACUCCAAGAGGCUGGCCCAGCUCAAACUAUCUUGGGGAGUCUCUUGCCCUGCUCCUCAGAGGGACUAGAGCAAGAGGUGUGCCUAGGGAGUGACAGGGUCACAUGUUCCCAGUUGACCACAGGGCUAGGGCUAGGAGAUUUUCAGUUACAGCCCCUUAGAGAUAUUAUGUGUCCUUUCUGGAAGUCCCCUUGCAUCUCUGGAGCAGGGGUGAGCUCUGGCUAAUGGUUUCCCCCCUAGCCAGGUCAUGUUCCUGGUCAGUGUGGCACUGGAGAGGGAGGAGGGGUGGGGGAUCCAGGUCUGUGCCCAGUGUAUUGAUAGGCUGAGAAUGUCCCAUACAUAUGAUCCCAGUAGGGACACUGGAUAGCAAGCUAAAGAAGCCCAAGGAGAGGGGUUCACUUUGAAAAGGAGCCGUAGGACCACCAGGUAGACCCUGGGUAGGAGUAAGAACCAGAGGAGGGGGAGGUAAGAGGGAUACCUCCAUGUCUUGGGCUUCUGUUUAACUCACGGGGAGUGUGGGAUGCUUAGUGUGUGUGUGGGGGAUAAUCAGAGCCCUUUGCUCUGAAUCCCCAACAGCACCAUAGUGGGUGGUGCUUGGAGGAGUCGCUGGUGGUGUUUGUUUCUUUCUUUCCUUUUUUCCUUCAGUGAGUUUCUAACCUUGAUUUUAAUUAAUUAAAAAUUUGACAUCGUCUCACUAUGCAGCCAUUGACUGCCUGAGACUCACAGAGAUCUGUCUGCCUCUGCCUCCUGAGUCCUGGAACCAAAGGUGUGGGCUUCCACAUCCAAUCUCUGUCCCUUUCUAACAUUGAUUAUGAAACAAGAAAGUAUAGAAAGAAGUAAUGUAGCCAGGCAACCAGCACUCAGAAGGCAGAGGCAGGCAGAUCUCUGAGUUCAAGGCCAGCAUGGUCUACAGAGUGAGUUCCAGGAAGGACAGCCAGAGGGCUACACAGAGAAACCCUGUCUCAAAAAAGAAAAAAAGAAAGAAAGGAAAGAAAGAAAG